rnacentral:rRNA from 1 species
UACGAGGGGUGCAAGCGUUAUUCGGAAUAACUGGGCGUAAAGGGUGCGUAGACGGUAUGCCAAGUCUGUUGUUAAAUUCUUCGGCUCAACUGAAGAUCUGCAAUGGAAACUGGUAAACUAGAGGGUGAGAGAGAGAAGUGGAAUUCCCGGAGUAGCGGUAAAAUGCGUAGAUCUCGGGAGGAACACCGAUGGCGAAGGCAGCUUCUUGGCUCACUCCUGACGUUGAGGCACGAAAGCGUGGGUAGCAAACAGG